CACAGCCCAGGUCUGGUAUCACUGAAUGUAAUCUAGAUUGAGGAACAGAGGCUGGAUUACACUAGAUGACAUUUUGAAGCCGCCUGAGAUGUCAUCUAUGGAGAUAUUCUCAAUCAAUUACAUGUGGAAUCGAAGGACACAAAAUAUAGGUGCUUACUGCUACCAUCUUCAAGGCUAUGAGUCGCUUAUGACACAUCCCAGAAGACAGUCAAGUUCAUAAUUAUACUGGACAUGACUCACACACAGACAUGUUAAUAAAACCAACAAAGUUUCUGGAGAGAAGUUAAAUCUAAAGAAGUGUUCGACCACGCGUUACAAAUAGUUAUCCACUUUUCUUUCACAAUUAAUUUUAUAAACCUUCAUAAUGAACUUCUAACAAAACUGCAUGAGUAAGGAAAUAAGUGACUUUUAUUCAUACCUUUCAUUAACUUGACUCAAGGACCUUGAAAGACAGGAACUUCAUUACACCGAGUGUUUGUUCGAGGAAACAGCAACAAAGAAGAUUGGUGGUGUGUACUUGUAAGCUGACUGGAUCAUGCGUGCGUGUUUGUGUUUCUUCUUGGAUGUUGCGUGUUUGAAAAGGUUGAACGGAGUGAGGCAAAACUCCCAGCAUGAUCAGAGAGCUACCGUAGAAAAUUCAAUUACACCGAGGUUUUGGUGGCGCAAAUAGUGGGGGAAAUACAUUAAAAUACUUUUGGUGACACAUAUAGUAACCUGUACUCGUUAUCUUGUAAAAUCAUUUGUAAGUUAUUUAACGAAACUAUCAAAUUUUCACUGAGAAUUGGAAGAUGUGACGUUGACUGAUGUGGAUUAGAACAGAUACCGGAUGGUUUUGGGAGAUAUACAAAUCAUUUCAGCUUUUAAAACGAAAAUUUGUCAAUCUUCAUUCGCAGUCACUCGAACGAAAUAAAGCAGACAAAUAUCACUCUCGACUUAUAAAUCCAGAGAUAUAUAAAACCAGAUCAGUGAACACUGCUGUGUUCCUAAAAUAAGACUACUCCAUGUACGGGGGGGGGGGCUUUUAUAAUGAGGUCUAUGUAAAAAUCUAACUUUCUUCUAAAAUUAACAAAAAUCCGACUAAAAAGACACGACCUUAUAACUAUAAAAGAACUUCUUAAAAUAGAAAUCUUCUUGAGAAACUGAUAAUUACUGAGGUAUUAAAAAUAUAUUAAAAUUGGCCGUCAAUCACAAUAUAAGAUAAUUAAAAGAUUAAAAUAUCAUUUUUCGUUCC